rnacentral:lncRNA from 1 species
UUAUAGUCAAGAUACCUUUAUCAAAGCCUAGAUUUAUACGUACACAGAGCUAUAGGUUUACGCCAUAAGAUAGAGUCAUGUCUAGGUAGAAGUCGAAGACUGAUUAGUGAUGUAUGCUAUAUAUUAUGUUAUGCUAUGCUAUACUAGGAUGUAAUGUGGCUAAAUAUUAUGAGAUGUGUCUAAACGUUUGAUAUGUUUGUAGAAGUGAUGCCGCCUAGAAGAGGCCGAGGCCGUAGAGGGGCAGCAAAGCCCAAAGAUCGAGUUGAUCGAAUAGAGAGGAUUUUAGAGGGACUCGUUCAAGUGGUCCAUGAGAUUCACAACAACAAUAACCAUGACGAUGCACCGCAACAACCGGCAAUGCCAAUGGCAGGAGCAGGAGCGAUCUCACGUACCACGAUUAAAUAAUUCCAGUAGCUAAAGCCCCCAACUUUCUAUGGAACUCCCGAUCCCA